UAGGAUAACUAUAUUUGAUAUGUGCGUACCUUGCAAGGUCCUCGUGUCUGUCAGACAGUUUUCACUUGACCUCGACCUCAUUUCAUGGAUCAGUGAACAAGGUUAAGUUUUGGUGGUCAAGUCCAUAUCUCAGAUACUAUAAGCAAUAGGGCUAGUAAAUUCGGUGUAUGGAAGGACUGUAAGGUGUACAUGUCCAACAGGCAGGUGUCAUCUGACCUUGACCUCAUUUUCAUGGUUCAGUGGUUAUAGUUAAAUUUUUGUGUUUUGGUCUGUUUUUCUCAUACCAUAUGCAAUAGGUCUACUAUAUUUGUUGUAUGGAAUGAUUGUUAAGUGUACAUGUUUAGCGGGCAGAUGUCAUGUGACCUUGACCUCAUUUUCAUGAUUCAGUGGUCAAAGUUAAGUUUUUGAGUUUUGAUCUUUUUAUCUAAUGCUAUAUGCCAUAGGUCAACUAUAUUUGGUGUAUGGAAAUAUUUUAUGAUCUUUAUGUCAGUCGCGCA
rnacentral:lncRNA from 1 species